ensembl:miRNA Gm22411 predicted gene, 22411
GGUUUCUCUGUGUAGCCCUGGCUGUCCUGGAACUCACUUUGUAGACCAGGCUGGCCUUGAACUCAGAAAUCCACCUGCCUCUGCCUCCCAAGUGCUGGGACUAAAGGCAUGCGCCACCACUGCCCG